rnacentral:rRNA from 1 species
UACGGAAGGCAGCAGUGGGGAAUAUUGCACAAUGGGCGCAAGCCUGAUGCAGCCAUGCCGCGUGUAUGAAGAAGGCCUUCGGGUUGUAAAGUACUUUCAGCGGGGAGGAAGGCGGUGAAGUUAAUAGCUUCACCGAUUGACGUUACCCGCAGAAGAAGCACCGGCUAACUCCGUGCCAGCAGCCGCGGUAAUACGGAGGGUGCAAGCGUUAAUCGGAAUUACUGGGCGUAAAAGCGCACGCAGGCGGUCUGUCAAGUCGGAUGUGAAAUCCCCGGGCUUAACCUGGGAACUGCAUUCGAAACUGGCAGGCUAGAGUCUUGUAGAGGGGGUAGAAGUUCCAGGUGUAGCGGUGAAAUGCGUAGAGAUCUGGAGGAAUACCGGUGGCGAAGGCGGCCCCUGGGACAAAGCUGACGCUCAGGUGCGAAAGCGUGGGGAGCAAACGAGGAUUAGGAUACC